UACGGAGGGUGCGAGCGUUGUCCGGAAUCACUGGGCGUAAAGGGCGCGUAGGUGGCCCCUCAAGCGUGCGGUGAAAGUCAGGGGCUCAACCCCGAGUCGGCCGUGCGAACUGUUUUGCUUGAGCACUGUAGAGGCAGGCGGAAUUCCGGGUGUAGCGGUGGAAUGCGUAGAGAUCCGGAAGAACACCGGUGGCGAAGGCGGCCUGCUGGGCAGUAGCUGACACUGAGGCGCGACAGCGUGGGGAGCA
rnacentral:rRNA from 1 species